AGCGAACGCUGGCGGCAGGCCUAACACAUGCAAGUCGAACGAACCCUUCGGGGUUAGUGGCGGACGGGUGAGUAACACGUGGGAACGUGCCUUUAGGUUCGGAAUAACUCAGGGAAACUUGUGCUAAUACCGAAUGUGCCCUUCGGGGGAAAGAUUUAUCGCCUUUAGAGCGGCCCGCGUCUGAUUAGCUAGUUGGUGAGGUAAAGGCUCACCAAGGCUACGAUCAGUAGCUGGUCUGAGAGGAUGACCAGCCACAUUGGGACUGAGACACGGCCCAAACUCCUACGGGAGGCAGCAGUGGGGAAUCUUGCGCAAUGGGCGAAAGCCUGACGCAGCCAUGCCGCGUGGAUGAUGAAGGUCUUAGGAUUGUAAAAUCCUUUCACCGGUGAAGAUAAUGACUGUAGCCGGAGAAGAAGCCCCGGCUAACUUCGUGCCAGCAGCCGCCGCCGUAA
rnacentral:rRNA from 1 species